rnacentral:rRNA from 1 species
AUGGGGCGGCGCAUCUUCUUCAGGCCAUGGAACCGUCAGGCGCUGGCGGCACACUCGAGAUUCAGCUUCAAGGUUUCUCUCAUGCUGGAAGGCAUCCCCCCACACGCUUGGGAGAGAGAAGUGGUGGAAGAUCUGCUCGGUUCUUCCUACAUGGUGGACAUGGUGGCGCCAGAAUCAAGCUCGCGUCGUGAUUUCUCUGCUUUCAGGCUCACGGCGUGGACGGCCGAUCCUGAGGCCAUUCCGACGUUGAGGUGGUUGGCCAUCCCGGAGCCUGGCUUGUUCGUCCCGCUGGCGGAGCCUGCGCUGUUGCAGUACAAGAUCCUCAUACACCUAGAAUCCGUGGCUGACUUUGGAGAGACGGAGGAGCCAUGCUUCUUAGCGGCUUCCUCAGACAGUGGCUAG